GAUGAACGCUAGCUACGAGGCUUAACACAUGCAAGUCGAGGGGAACGAUAUUGGAAGCUUGCUUCCGAUAGGCGUCGACCGGCGCACGGGUGAGUAACGCGUAUCCAACCUGCCCAUCACUUGGGGAUAACCUUGCGAAAGUAAGACUAAUACCCAAUGACGUCUCUAGAAGACAUCUGAAGGAGAUUAAAGAUUUAUCGGUGAUGGAUGGGGAUGCGUCUGAUUAGCUUGUUGGCGGGGUAACGGCCCACCAAGGCGACGAUCAGUAGCCGGACUGAGAGGUUGAUCGGCCACAUUGGGACUGAGACACGGCCCAGACUCCUACGGGAGGCAGCAGUGGGGGAUAUUGGACAAUGGGGGAAACCCUGAUGCAGCGACGCCGCGUGGAGGAAGAAGGUCUUCGGAUUGUAAACUCCUGUUGUUGAGGAAGAUAAUGACGGUACUCAACAAGGAAGUGACGGCUAACUACGUG
rnacentral:rRNA from 1 species